rnacentral:rRNA from 1 species
GAUGAACGCUGGCGGCGUGCCUAAUACAUGCAAGUCGAGCGAACAGACGAGGAGCUUGCUCCUCUGACGUUAGCGGCGGACGGGUGAGUAACACGUGGAUAACCUACCUAUAAGACUGGGAUAACUUCGGGAAACCGGAGCUAAUACCGGAUAAUAUAUUGAACCGCAUGGUUCAAUAGUGAAAGACGGUUUUGCUGUCACUUAUAGAUGGAUCCGCGCCGCAUUAGCUAGUUGGUAAGGUAACGGCUUACCAAGGCGACGAUGCGUAGCCGACCUGAGAGGGUGAUCGGCCACCCUGGAACUGGACCACGGUCCAGACUCCUACGGGAGGCAGCAGUAGGGAAUCUUCCGCAAUGGGCGAAAGCCUGACGGAGCAACGCCGCGUGAGUGAUGAAGGUCUUCGGAUCGUAAAACUCUGUUAUUAGGGAAGAACAAAUGUGUAAGUAACUAUGCACGUCUUGACGGUACCUAAUCAGAAAGCCACGGCUAACUACGUG